rnacentral:rRNA from 1 species
GUCCACGCCCUAAACGAUGAUUACUCGAUGUGUGCGAUACACUGUACGCGUCUGAGCGAAAGCAUUAAGUAAUCCACCUGGGGAAUACGGUCGCAAGAUUGAAACUCAAAGGAAUUGACGGGGGCCCGCACAAGCGGAGGAGCAUGUGGUUUAAUUCGAUGAUACGCGAGGAACCUUACCUGGGCUUGAAAGUUAGUGAAUAACCCCGAAAAGGGUUAGUCCGCAAGGACACGAAACUAGGUGCUGCAUGGCUGUCGU